rnacentral:rRNA from 1 species
UGGGGAAUAUUGGACAAUGGGGGCAACCCUGAUCCAGCAAUGCCGCGUGUGUGAAGAAGGCCUGCGGGUUGUAAAGCACUUUCAGUGGGGAAGAAAAGCACAGGGUUAAUACCCCUGAGUCUUGACGUAACCUACAGAAGAAGCACCGGCUAACUCCGUGCCAGCAGCCGCGGUAAUACGGAGGGUGCGAACGUUAAUCGGAAUUACUGGGCGUAAAGCGCGCGUAGGCGGUCUCGUAAGUCGAAUGUGAAAGCCCUGGGCUUAACCUGGGAAUUGCGUUCGAUACUGCCUGACUAGAGUACGGUAGAGGGAAGUGGAAUUUCCGGUGUAGCGGUGAAAUGCGUAGAUAUCGGAAGGAACACCAGUGGCGAAGGCGACUUCCUGGGCCAGUACUGACGCUGAGGUGCGAAAGCGUGGGGAGCAAACAGGAUUAGAUACCCCCGUAGUCC